rnacentral:rRNA from 1 species
UAAGGAAUAUUGGUCAAUGGACGCAAGUCUGAACCAGCCAUGCCGCGUGAAGGAUGAAGGUCCUCUGGAUUGUAAACUUCUUUUAUCUGGGACGAAACACUCUUAUUCUUAAGAGCUUGACGGUACCAGAGGAAUAAGCACCGGCUAACUCCGUGCCAGCAGCCGCGGUAAUACGGAGGGUGCAAGCGUUAUCCGGAUUCACUGGGUUUAAAGGGUGCGUAGGUGGGUCUGUAAGUCAGUGGUGAAAUCUUCGAGCUUAACUCGGAAACUGCCAUUGAUACUAUAGGUCUUGAAUUUUCUGGAGGUAAGCGGAAUAUGUCAUGUAGCGGUGAAAUGCUUAGAUAUGACAUAGAACACCAAUUGCGAAGGCAGCUUACUACGGGAACAUUGACACUGAGGCACGAAAGCGUGGGGAUCAAACAG